AGUGAACGCUGGCGGUAGGCCUAACACAUGCAAGUCGAACGGCAGCACAGUAAGAGCUUGCUCUUACGGGUGGCGAGUGGCGGACGGGUGAGGAAUACAUCGGAAUCUACUUUUUCGUGGGGGAUAACGUAGGGAAACUUACGCUAAUACCGCAUACGACCUACGGGUGAAAGCAGGGGAUCUUCGGACCUUGCGCGAUUGAAUGAGCCGAUGUCGGAUUAGCUAGUUGGCGGGGUAAAGGCCCACCAAGGCGACGAUCCGUAGCUGGUCUGAGAGGAUGAUCAGCCACACUGGAACUGAGACACGGUCCAGACUCCUACGGGAGGCAGCAGUGGGGAAUAUUGGACAAUGGGCGAAAGCCUGAUCCAGCCAUACCGCGUGGGUGAAGAAGGCCUUCGGGUUGUAAAGCCCUUUUGUUGGGAAAGAAAAGCAGCAGGUUAAUACCCCGCUAUUCUGACGGUACCCAAAGAAUAAGCACCGGCUAACUUCGUG
rnacentral:rRNA from 1 species